GACGAACGCUGGCGGCGUGCCUAAUACAUGCAAGUAGAACGCAGUUGCGAACGGGUGAGUAACGCGGAGGGAACUGCCUCAUAGCGGGGGAUAAAUGUUGAAAACGAUAGCUAAUAACGCAUACUGUGAGAUGGACCUGUGUUGUAUUAGCUAGUUGUUGAGGUAAAGGCUCACCAAGGCGACGAUACAUAGCCGACCUGAGAGGGUGAUCGGCCACACCGUGACUUGGACACGGCCCCGACUCCCACGGGAGGCAGCAGGUGGGAAUCUUUGGCAAUGGACGGAAGUCUGACCGGUCAACGCCGCGGGAUUGAAGAAGGUUUUCGGAUCGUAAAGCUCUGUUGUUAGAGAAGCUUUCACUCCCCAGAAAGGGACGGCUAACUACGUGCCAGCAGCCGCGGUAAUAC
rnacentral:rRNA from 1 species